ACUCUCUUAGUAUAAAAAGUAUUAUUGACUUCCAAUCAACGGGUCUCGAAUGAUUCGAGAGAGAGUA
rnacentral:tRNA from 1 species